AAAGUCUGACCGAGCAACGCCGCGUGAGUGAAGAAGGUUUUCGGAUCGUAAAGCUCUGUUGUAAGUCAAGAACGUGUGUGAGAGUGGAAAGUUCACACAGUGACGGUAGCUUACCAGAAAGGGACGGCUAACUACGUGCCAGCAGCCGCGGUAAUACGUAGGUCCCGAGCGUUGUCCGGAUUUAUUGGGCGUAAAGGGAGCGCAGGCGGUCAGGAAAGUCUGGAGUAAAAGGCUAUGGCUCAACCAUAGUGUGCUCUGGAAACUGUCUGACUUGAGUGCAGAAGGGGAGAGUGGAAUUCCAUGUGUAGCGGUGAAAUGCGUAGAUAUAUGGAGGAACACCGGUGGCGAAGGCGGCUCUCUGGUCUGUCACUGACGCUGAGGCUCGAAAGCGUGGGUAGCGAACAGGAUUAGAUACCCUGGUAGUCCACGCCGUAAACGAUGAGUGCUAGGUGUUAGGCCCUUUCCGGGGCUUAGUGCCGGAGCUAACGCAAUAAGCACUCCGCCUGGGGAGUACGACCGCAAGGUUGAAACUCAAAGGAAUUGACGGGGGCCCGCACAAGCGGUGGAGCAUGUGGUUUAAUUCGAAGCAACGCGAAGAACCUUACCAGGUCUUGACAUCCCGAUGCUAUUCUUAGAGAUAGGAAGUUACUUCGGUACAUCGGAGACAGGUGGUGCAUGG
rnacentral:rRNA from 1 species